GAUGAAGAACGUAGCGAAAUGCGAUAAGUAAUGUGAAUUGCAGAAUUCAGUGAAUCAUCGAAUCUUUGAACGCACAUUGCGCCCCUUGGUACUCCAUGGGGCAUGCCUGUUCGAGCGUCAUUUACACCCUCAAGCUCAGCUUGGUGUUGGGCGUCUGUCCCGCUUCGUGCGCGGACUCGCCUCAAAUGCAUUGGCAGCGGUCUUGCCAGCUUCUCGCGCAGCACAUUGCGCUUCUAGAGGCUUUGGCGGAUCGGCGUCCAUCAAGUACACCCACAGUUUGACCUCGGAUCAGGUAGGGAUACCCGCUGAACUUAAGCAUAUCAAUAAGCGGAGGA
rnacentral:misc_RNA from 1 species